rnacentral:lncRNA from 1 species
UGUACAACCAUAAAGACAGCAUCAUUUAGAUAUGAUCAUAUGGAAAUGAAGGAUUUAACUUAACUAAAACAUUAUAGUUUGUUAUGCAACCAUAAGGCUAUGAAUAUUUUAGAGGCAGGCAGGAAGAUGUUGAGAGUUGCAUGAGAUAAAAUUGAAAAGGAGUUUCCUAUCUUUCAACUCAUGAAGGUUUGUUGUACAACCA